CCUACGGGAGGCAGCAGUGAGGAAUAUUGGUCAAUGGGCGCGAGCCUGAACCAGCCAAGUAGCGUGAAGGAUGACUGCCCUACGGGUUGUAAACUUCUUUUAUAAAGGAAUACAGUGAGGCACGUGUGCCUUAUUGUAUGUACUUUAUGAAUAAGGAUCGGCUAACUCCGUGCCAGCAGCGGCGGUAAUACGGUGGAUCCGAGCGUUAUCCGGAUUUAUUGGGUGUAAAGGGAGCGUAGAUGGGUUGUUAAGUCAGUUGUGAAAGUUUGCGGCUCAACCGUAAAAUUGCAAUUGAUACUGGCAGUCUUGAGUACAGUUGAGGUAGGCGGAAUUCGUGGUGUAGCGGUGAAAUGCUUAGAUAUCACGAAGAACACCGAUGGCGAAGGCAGCUUACUAAACUGCCACUGACAUUGAUGCUCGAAAGUGUGGGUAUCAAACAGGAUUAGAUACCCGGGUAGUC
rnacentral:rRNA from 1 species